rnacentral:rRNA from 1 species
UACAGAGGUCUCAAGCGUUGUUCGGAAUUACUGGGCGUAAAGGGCUCGUAGGCGGCCAACUAAGUCAGACGUGAAAUCCCCCGGCUUAACCUGGGAACUGCGUCUGAUACUGGACGGCUUGAGUAUGGGAGAGGGAUGUAGAAUUCCAGGUGUAGCGGUGAAAUGCGUAGAUAUCUGGAGGAAUACCGGUGGCGAAGGCGGCAUCCUGGACCAUUACUGACGCUGAGGCGCGAAAGCUAGGGGAGCAAACGGG